rnacentral:rRNA from 1 species
UACGUAGGGGGCAAGCGUUGUCCGGAUUUAUUGGGGUUAAAGGGUGCGUAGGCGGCUUUGUAAGUCAGUGGUGAAAUACGGUAGCUUAACUAUCGAGGUGCCAUUGAUACUGCAGAGCUUGAGUACAGAUGAGGUAGGCGGAAUUGACGGUGUAGCGGUGAAAUGCUUAGAUAUCGUCAAGAACACCUAUAGCGAAGGCAGCUUACUAGGCUGUAACUGACGCUGAGGCACGAAAGUGUGGGGAUCAAACAGG